GAUGAACGCUGGCGGCGUGCCUAAUACAUGCAAGUCGAGCGAACAGACGAGGAGCUUGCUCCUCUGACGUUAGCGGCGGACGGGUGAGUAACACGUGGAUAACCUACCUAUAAGACUGGGAUAACUUCGGGAAACCGGAGCUAAUACCGGAUAAUAUAUUGAACCGCAUGGUUCAAUAGUGAAAGACGGUUUUGCUGUCACUUAUAGAUUGAUCCGCGCCGCAUUAGCUAGUUGGUAAGGUAACGGCUUACCAAGGCAACGAUGCGUAGCCGACCUGAGAGGGUGAUCGGCCACACUGGAACUGAGACACGGUCCAGACUCCUACGGGAGGCAGCAGUAGGGAAUCUUACGCGAUGGGCGAAAGCCUGACGGAGCAAAGCCGCGUGAGUGAUGAAGGUCUUCGGAUCGUAAAACUCUGUUAUUAGGGAAGAACAAAUGUGUAAGUAACUAGGCACGUCUUGACGGUACCUAAUCAGAAAGCCACGGCUAACUACGUG
rnacentral:rRNA from 1 species